rnacentral:sRNA from 1 species
CCCAUCUCCACACAUACCUUGAGCGUUUGAGAAGAGAGUGUAGGAUCUUUGGGGUUGGCUUGGCUCUUCGUACGUAACAAAGGAAGAGGACGUGAGGAAGGACCAUCUUGUUAGACAUCUUUAAAGUCUGGAACGUUUUCAGGAAUCUCAGGGAAGAUAGACUAUGUGGACUUGGUUUUGAAGGUGGUGGAGUUGUGGUGAAUCUUCUAUAGAAGGUGACGAGGUGGUUAUGAAGGUGACACUUCUAGUUUUGUGCUAGACUUGUGAUAGUGUAAAGGUGACUGAGUCAAUAGAUGGAAGGAGCAUUAGAUGUGUCAUAUUUGGACAGUGAAGAUGUAGUGAAUGAUGUGGUGGGG